GAAGAGUGGCGAACGGGUGAGUAACACGUGGGUAACCUGCCCAUCAGAAGGGGAUAACACUUGGAAACAGGUGCUAAUACCGUAUAACAAUCGAAACCGCAUGGUUUUGAUUUGAAAGGCGCUUUCGGGUGUCGCUGAUGGAUGGACCCGCGGUGCAUUAGCUAGUUGGUGAGGUAACGGCUCACCAAGGCCACGAUGCAUAGCCGACCUGAGAGGGUGAUCGGCCACAUUGGGACUGAGACACGGCCCAAACUCCUACGGGAGGCAGCAGUAGGGAAUCUUCGGCAAUGGACGAAAGUCUGACCGAGCAACGCCGCGUGAGUGAAGAAGGUUUUCGGAUCGUAAAACUCUGUUGUUAGAGAAGAACAAGGAUGAGAGUAACUGUUCAUCCCUUGACGGUAUCUAACCAGAAAGCCACGGCUAACUACGUGCCAGCAGCCGCGGUAAUACGUAGGUGGCAAGCGUUGUCCGGAUUUAUUGGGCGUAAAGCGAGCGCAGGCGGUUUCUUAAGUCUGAUGUGAAAGCCCCCGGCUCAACCGGGGAGGGUCAUUGGAAACUGGGAGACUUGAGUGCAGAAGAGGAGAGUGGAAUUCCAUGUGUAGCGGUGAAAUGCGUAGAUAUAUGGAGGAACACCAGUGGCGAAGGCGGCUCUCUGGUCUGUAACUGACGCUGAGGCUCGAAAGCGUGGGGAGCAAACAGGAUUAGGAUACCCUGGUAGUCCACGCCGUAAACG
rnacentral:rRNA from 1 species